AUACUUUCUAGAUCAAAUCAAAAUAAGGGAGUGCUUGGCCCACGCUGAUGGUCCCUGGAAACCUGCUCGUCUGGGCCAAGUUUGUUGAGAGCGCCUCAGCCCCACGAAGGAUGCUACAGGCAGCAGCAGGUGGUGACCACUCCACAGCUGGCAGAGGCAUGGUGAGGGCACAUUACAUCACAGAGGGGCCUUCUGUGAGGCAGGGUCCCUGCCCGGUGAGGGACCAGGCAGAGGAGAGGCUGACCAGAGGCCCCGGGGCAGGGACGCACGCCGGGUUCAGUGAGCACCGGAUCCUUGAGCAGAACACCUAUCUCUACCCAAGAGCAUUCCUCCUGGAAGGCGAUGAAUUUCCAACGGCAGUCUCUUUAGACUCAUCUCAGGGGACCACGCAGGUGGUGAUCAGAGGCCGCAGAGACCACGGAAGAAUUUUAUGGCAUUCCAGACAGGACACAGGCCAGCUUGGAGGAGGAGCAGCAAUAAGACUUGGCAAUACAGGGAGGGCGUGGAAGUUAUUUCCGAGGAGAGACAAUGGUAAGACCAACUUAACUAGUUCUGGUGUAGGAGGGCAGAAUUCUUAGAGGUGCACCUUUUAUAUCAAGACAGUGAUUUCACUGGUCUGAACUCAGAAGUUGUUCAACACCAGCAUUCUGAAAACCAAGCUCUCCUCUUCUUCUGGUACCUUUGCAUCUUCUCCCAUCUGGUGUCUCUAAAUUAAUUUUUUUGUAGCCAGAACUUCCAUUUUAUUGCAAUGGCUACUUUUGUGUCUCUUACUGCUGUCUUUAAUAACUUUUAAUGACCUAAGAAAUAGUUGGCUGAGUUCCGUUUUCCACUUCCUCCAAGGCCAACGAUGGUGCAUCCUACGCCCUGUGUGUACAAAUAGAGGAGGCAGCGCUCAUUCUCCCUGCCUCAUCUUCACCCCAGCAUGCCUGGACUCUUGACAGGGCAAAACAGAGUGGGAAAGUGGUUUUCUACAGAAAUAGCCGGCAAGUCCAGAUGUCUCGAGAGCUCCCAACCUACAGAAGUCAUCUGUCUGUUGCUGCGUGUACUUCCUUGUUCAGUACCUCCCAUCAGCAAAUCACGGGGCAGGGUGACUCAUGGUGGACAGCCACGAGUGAGACAGACCAUCUCAAGGAGCUCUCCUUCUGCAAGGGGAAUCAGGCAGGUGCUCAGAUCUCUACACGACACAGGUAGCAGGAGGUUGAUGCCCCAAAAGAGGCAGACAGGGCUGCGGAAGAUGGAAUGAGAGAGAGAUUUUAUCCUAUCAGGGAAGACUUGGUGGAGGUCCCAGUCAGUCUGGGGGACGUCGAGUUUGCAAUCAGUUUGCAAGCAAUUCAAGUGCAAGGACUCACAGGCAGUAGGGACAUGGGCCAGAAAUCAGGAGGAAGAGGGUGUGUCUGGGAAGUAAAGAGCCCAAAGUUAUGAUGGGAAGAGUUCAUUCUCAGUUCCCCAACUUCUGUUUUGACUACAGUAAGCCCACUACAUACAAAUCUUCAAGUUUCAAACUUCUCAAAGCUGUGAGCGUGCGUCCACAUGUCCAACCACGAAAGUUUGUCCGUGUGUCCGGCUUGCGUUGUCGCACGCCUGCACCCUCUCCAGGCGGCCGUGCUUUUGUGUACUUUGCGUGAGCACAGUAGACAGUAGCUGUAUCUCAAGCCCAGGACGUCCAGAGCAAGCAGAAAAGCAGUAACGAUGCGGCUGGUACUACUGUACUUUUUAAGGAACUGUACCAUAAGCUUUGCUGCCGUUGUUCAGUCGCUCAGUCGUGUCCAACUCUUUGUGACCCCAUGGACUACAGCACGCCAGGCUUUCCUGUCCUUCACCAUUUCCCGGUGCUUGCUCAAACUCAUGUCCAUCGAGUCAGUGAUGCCAUCCAGCCAUCUCAUCCUCUGUCGUCCCCUUCUCCUCCUGCCCUCAAUCUUUCCCAGCAUCAGGGUGUUUUCCAAUGAGUUGGUUCUUCACAUCAGGUAGCCAAACUAUUGGAGCUUCAGCAUCAGUCCUUCCAAUAAAUAUUCAGACUUGAUUUCCUUUAGAACUGACUGGUUGGAUCUCCUUGCUGUCCAAGGGACUCUCAAGAGUCUUCUCCAGCACCACAGUUCAAAAGCAUCAAUUCCUUGGUGCUCCUUGGUGGUAGUUUGGUCGUUACGUCGGGUCCGACUCUUGCAACCCCAUGGACUAUAGCCCGUGAGUCUCCUCUGUCCAUGGGAUUCUCCAGGCAAGAAUACUGGAGUGGGUUGCCAUUUCCUUCUCCAGGGCGCUUGUUAAAAACGUUUUAUUUCUGGGUUCAUUCUUUAUAUAUUAUUU
ensembl:lncRNA